rnacentral:rRNA from 1 species
GAUGAACGCUGGCGGCGUGCCUAAUACAUGCAAGUCGAGCGAACAGACGAGGAGCUUGCUCCUUUGACGUUAGCGGCGGACGGGUGAGUAAAACGUGGAUAACCUACCUAUAAGACUGGGAUAACUUCGGGAAACCGGAGCUAAUACCGGAUAACAUGUUGAACCGCAUGGUUCAACAGUGAAAGACGGUCUUGCUGUCACUUAUAGAUGGAUCCGCGCCGCAUUAGCUAGUUGGUAAGGUAACGGCUUACCAAGGCAACGAUGCGUAGCCGACCUGAGAGGGUGAUCGGCCACACUGGAACUGAGACACGGUCCAGACUCCUACGGGAGGCAGCAGUAGGGAAUCUUCCGCAAUGGGCGAAAGCCUGACGGAGCAACGCCGCGUGAGUGAAGAAGGUCUUCGGAUCGUAAAACUCUGUUAUUAGGGAAGAACAAAUGUGUAAGUAACUAUGCACGUCUUGACGGUACCUAAUCAGAAAGCCACGGCUAACUACGUG